rnacentral:rRNA from 1 species
UUUAAAAUGGUUCGCAAGGGCCGGUCCCAAAAACAAUAUAUCAUCCUUAUGAAAUUUUUUCUGAACAAUUAAACAAAAUGAUUUUAAUAAUCUGUUUAAAACAACUUUCAACAACGGAUCUCUUGGUUCUCGCAUCGAUGAAGAACGCAGCGAAAUGCGAUACGUAAUGUGAAUUGCAGAAUUCAGUGAAUCAUCGAAUCUUUGAACGCACAUUGCACUCCUUGGUAUUCCGAGGAGUAUGCCUGUUUCAGUAUCAUGAGCACUCUCACACCUAACCUUUGGGUUUAUGGCGUGGAAUUGGAAUGCGCCGACUGUCAUGGUUGGCCCUUCUAAAAUGUAGUUCUUGGCUGUCACCUAAUACAGCAGUUUGGCCUAAUAGUUUUGGCAUUCAUUGUCAAAUCUUUGGCUAACAUUUGCUCCAGGAGUCAGUCUUGAUAAUACAGAAAACUCAUUCAAAUUUUGAUCUGAAAUCAGGUAGGGCUACCCGCUGAACUUAAGCAUAUCAAUAAGCGGAGGAA